UACGUAGGGUGCGAGCGUUAAUCGGAAUUACUGGGCGUAAAGCGUGCGCAGGCGGUUUUGUAAGCCAGAUGUGAAAGCCCCGGGCUUAACCUGGGAAUGGCAUUUGGGACUGCAAGGCUUGAGUGCGGCAGAGGAGACUGGAAUUCCCGGUGUAGCAGUGAAAUGCGUAGAUAUCGGGAGGAAUACCGAUGGCGAAGGCAGGUCUCUGGGCUGACACUGACGCUGAGGAGCGAAAGCGUGGGGAGCGAACAGG
rnacentral:rRNA from 1 species